GUGUUAGCUCACUUUUCUGUUCCUGUUCCUACUACUAUAAGUCUGGUUUCUGUAAUCUUGUCUUUGUCCUUACUGGCCAACGUAAUAUUCUUUGUUCUGUGGGUCCAACAAAGGAGGAGGCCUCAUAACCAUAAUUGCCAGCCAGCUCCUACCAUAGAACUUCUGCAGUUCACGUACAGAAACAGUUUCCACAGUCAUGAAGCUACCGCAGAUAUCUCCUUGUAUUGUCCAUUACAGGCAUCAUCAGACUCAGACAAAAGCAGCAUGGAUAGAAGUCAAGCACUGUAGAAAGAACUCCACUGACAGCUGUGAGUGUCCUCACACAUCAUGAACUGUCUACAGCACUGAACAAGCAGAUUCCCUGGGAACAUGAAACUGAGGCAAAGUGAUAUGUGGACUGGGAUUGGACAGAAAAUUAUGAACCUGCAUAAUAUGAUGUAGGACUGGGCCACCUUUGCUUCAUUUGUGAGAUACUAUCAGUAAAUUUCACUGAGGAAGCAACGGUUAAGUUGUAUGAAGCUACACUCUUAAAGAAAUAAGAAGAAAGAAAAAGAAGACAGUCAGAUACUGAAAUGAGAAUUUAUUUUCCCACAUAAUAGCAAAUGAAUCAUUUAUUAAUAUAUUUUUCUUAAUGUAUGUAUGUAUACUUAAUGAAGUAUUAUUCACAGUGUCUUUAUUAUUAUUUAGACUUAUAAAGCACCUUUCCCAUACCCAAUGAUACAUUACAAUCAACACUGCUUUUACAUCCACACUUUUUCAUAAUAUUAUGUAUAAUAGAUGAUGUUGGUCUUACAAUAUAACCCAAAGAAAACAGUGUCAUGGUGAGCUUCAGGUAUGAAGUGCCGUUUAUGAAAAAAGCUGUGUUUGUAUCCGUGAGAGUGAAACUGUGCGAAAGGGGGUGGAAAUGCACACGAGUGAGUGAAAGUAUGCGUGAGCAAGAGAAACUACGUGAAAGAUGUUUGAUAUGGUGGAGGAGCUUCAUGUCAUCCAUUGUUGGUAUACACUGUUAUCAACACGAGAAUAAAAAAGAUAUUUUUAUUCUUUGUUUUUCUCAAUUCAGUUCUAUGAACAGCAGCUUGGCAGCAAAAGCUAUCCAUACAGCUCAACAUGCGCAUUUAUUCUUUAUGACUGGAAAGCAGCAUGUCGAUGUCCUCACUGCAGUCCAUGGGUCAAUAGGCUUUGGAAAAAUUAAGGUUUAUUCAUUGGUUCCUGUAAAAAAGUAUGCUUGAUUUUAUCUGUGGGUAAAAAAGAAGUAAACUUUGUUUUUUCAUU